GAACUUUCUGGAAGUGAACAAAACAUUGACUAAGUAAUGAACACGUACACUAGUCUAAAUAGUCACUACUUCAUGUAACAGCCUUUAAAGUUUCAAUACUGAUAACCAGUAAAUGUAGGACUCAUGGAUUCUGUGACUGAGUGUGGAAAUGAAACAGCCAUAGUCAGCACUCGAUGCUCCAUGCCAAAUGAAGGAAAGAAUGAUGUGUUAAAAAAAUUCAUUUGAAUAUAAAUAUGCUGCCUCUCUUGGGAGUUUAUAUAUCUUCAAGUUAAACAACCAGACUUUGAAACAUCUGGAGAAGUUGGAAAAUGAGAAGUUAAAAAAUGCUUCUUCAAUCUGGGAAAGGACGGGCUAAUGUAAAACCCCACUUGGAGUUGGGGCUACUGUACUCUACAUGUGUUGGGCCACACACCUCACUAGGACACAGAGACCAUUAUGAAGGCUUCCACGACACUCUCGGGGAGCCUCUGUGGGCCUACCGGCAACAGUCACAUCUGUAAAGUGACAGAGCCAAGAAGCUAAUGGUGUUGACAGGAACUAUCAACAUUAGACUUACUAAAUAUGUGCCUCCUCCAGGUAAACUCUUAUUUGAUUUGAUUCAAAGUUAGAAAUGACACAGGACAUGCACUCUAUUUAUUAAUUAUAAUUAAAAAUUUGUUAAGAUAAAAGGAAAAGGAACAUUACUCAAUUAUGCUGAAAAGUCCUACAUGGAAUUACAACAGCUGCUUGCCUUUUUUUCAGGACUGUUUGUUAGAAAUGUUAAAAGAAAAACUCUUUGUGAUAGAAAAAGCUCAUGACUGGGAAGCAGAGCCCAGAUUAGACCUCGGGUCUCCUAGCAUCUAAUGGCUUUGGGCAGGUCACUUGGUCCACCUGGUCUCAGGAUCCUUCUAAUUUCAAGAAGGGUCCUGCGGCCUGGACUCCUUUGUGAUCAGACGAACAUGGCCCCCAUUAUUCUUGACCUUGUCCAGUGAGGCUACAGCAACAUCUUCUUUGGUGAUGUAUCUAAAACAAUUACAUGGUGAGUAGAUUUCCUCUCUCUUCUGAGUUUCUCUAUUUCAUGAUCACAUUACUCUUUGUAAAAGCAAUAGGAGAAAAAGCAAGAUGGGGUCUUUAUUGUGCUAAUACUAAAAUUAGGGCAUAGCAUUUUCUAUCCUAACAUUGGUCUCCACGUGUGGGAAAGACACCUCUGUUCCAAAUUAGUUUCUUAAGAUUUAUUCUUCUAAGACAUUCAGAGUCACUCAAUAUCCUUUGGACCAAUUUUCACUUAGGGGAUAAGAGGAGUGGGUGUAGGAAUAAAAAGUGAUCAAAUACAUGCACAACUGACAUCCUUGCGUAAAUACCUUGUUGAGCUGUGCGGAUAAUCUCUCACUGCAUUUUUACCUCCCUUUUGGCCUUUUCUUCAAGGUCCCUCAAAUCAUCUCAAUCAUUUAUAAUGGUGUAUCAGCAUACUCGGGUAAAGAGAUUCUCUUUUUAGUUAACCAGGUUCAAUAACAACUUCUAUAAUCCCAAGGUUGUUUCCAUUAUUGUCAGCCAUACAGAGUUUAUGGAAUCUUCCACUGAAAUAAAGCCACUCUUGAUGUGGGAUUCAGAACCUUAUUACACAACACUAUCAAUACCACACAAUGGUUUAGGGACUGGAAGUAAAGAGGAAAGUUAUUCCAAUUAAAGGUGACGGGGGAAUUUAAGUAGGUAAAAUGCAAUUACCCAAUUAAUUCCUUCUAAUUAGCAUGGCCCACUUUCUCCGGUAGUUUACACUUUUGUAGUUUUUUUUUCCUUUUUAAUUAGUUUGAACAUGAAUUUCUUCAUAUUUCCAAGUACUUCCUAGUUUGCUAACUUGACAAUAAAAGUUAAAUCACAAUGGAAUGGCGCAAUAUUAGGUAAAAUCUUAGAAAUUUGCUUUUAUGUUAAAGUAGAUUUAAAAAUCAACAGAUUUUCUUGUUUUUAUAAGCUAUUAAUGUUUUGACUAGAUGAUACCUGCACAUAUAUCAAAACUCAAAAGGCAUGCAAUGGUGCUUAUGGUGAAGAGUAAGUUUACCUUCCAGUCCCAUCUCCUCCCCGAAAGCUAUCUCUGUGACCAAUUUCUUUUGGAGAGAUUUUUUUUUUCUGCGCAUAGGUUAUACCUUUUAUGAUCUCUGUAUUUUUAUUGACAUAUAACUCACAUACCAUAAAAGUUACCAUUUUAAAGUGUACAAUUCAGUUCAUUUUAGUAUACUUACAAAGUUGUCCAACCAGCACCACUAAUUCCAGAAAUUUCAUCACCCCCAGAAGAAACCUGUACUCAUUAGCAGUCCUCAUUAUGCUUUUUACUUUUAAAAACAAAUGGUAGCACACUAACCUUUACCUUGCUUUUUUUGCCUACACAUAUAUCUCCAAGCUCUUUCCAUAUCAGUACACAAGGGUUGCCCUAUUUCUUUGAUGACUGCAUGUUACUGCAUUAUUUGAAUAAACAAUAUAAUAUGUCUAACCAA